ACUUUUUUUUUUUUUUUUUGUUCGUGUCUAAAGAUGUAGAUAACCUAUUAAAUUAGAAUGAGGUGCCAAUCUGAAGAAGGGAUUUACACGAUUAAAGAAAGUGGACUUAGAAAGAAAAAGUAGCAGAUUUUACUGAGCUAAAAAUGUGGACUUGGAUGAAGAAUCAUGACUGUAUAUGACUAAAUUAGCAUUGCUAGCUAUAUUAAACGAAACACCAAUACGAGAUUUCAAAACGAAUAAUACGGACCCUAAUAUUAACUUCAUUCAUAAUCAUUUUUUUUUUGGUUAGAAAAUUGCUUUCUUUAGGAAAAACCGGUAUUGGAUGAGGGGAAGUGUAUUGUGGGGGUCUUUGGAAUCGAAAACCUUUUGACCUAGGAUAGUGGGGGGAGUGGGACAAAAGCUUUGGGGCCCGACAAGUCAGUCAGCACGCGGAAAACACACGACUUCCAUAAAGCGUGGCGACUUCCAAAAAGCGUGACGCAAGUGUUUUACUUCAUAAACUAAAGACGUAGCCACGCUAACAGACAGCCCAUCAACAGCAUGAUGCCCAAUCUCCUCUGGCUCAGAGUACUACUGGUCACUUUUGUUCAUCCAUAUCUAUAAAGCCAAGAAGCCAACAAUAAACGUGCAAAUCUGCUGCUUUUGGAUUUGGACCACCAAAAAAUAUGGCGAAAUGGGGGAGAAGGAGCUGGGAAAUAGAGAGAAAUUAUGAUGUUUGACCGAUUUGUGUCCAUUGCUUUACAAUUUUUGAUGCUUCAUUCAACUUAACGAGUCUUGUGACUUCUCAACCAGAAGGUUAUUUGGAGACCGACUGUGGCUCAGACUGGAAGCUUUUGGCAAAAAUCUUCCACUUCUACUCGUGAAUUAUUAUUGACAAGACAUUAUUCAACUUUGGUGGAGGGAGUUGGCAGUUGUGUCAUUCCACUACGAGUGAUUUCUAUGCAAAUCAAUUGUGGCUUAAAUCGUGCUGGCAUUAUGAUGUGGCUGGAGCCCAGACUGUAAAUUUCGAAAAUAAAAGAAUUAAAAAUGAACGGCACAGAUCAGAUCGACCUGACCUGAUUUAAUCUAAUUUGACCGUAAAUUAGACUCUGCAAUUGCUAAUCUUUGUACCGCUUCUCGGUAGCGCCCCCCUCCUCAGCUCCGUUAAAUGUAGAGGUGGUAAAUUAAUCCACCUAACUAAAUUUAUCCAUAUCCGUCCAUAAAUAGAUGUGUAUGAGUAUCUUAAAUUUUUGUAUAUGGGUAUAAAUGGGUUAUCAAACUCAAUUAACUCAUUUAGAAUUCUCUUCCUCCCAAGUCUCUUCUUUUUCCCCACCCAUUUUUUAAAAUUUUUUUCAUUCUAUCAUGAUGUUAACUACUUUUGUUUCAUUAUUAUUAUUAUUAUUAUUAUUUGUUGGUUUUAUCUUAUUAUUUUAUUUUCUCUUAGUUUGUUAACUUGCUCAUUUUUCAGCAUUACCAAUUUAUGAUAAAUUUUAGUCUAUUUUCUUAUUUUUCUAAAAUGAAAUUUUAAAUUUAUAUAUCAAAAAAUUUUAGGGGUUCAAAAUUUUUGGAUUAAGUUUUUAUAGUAAUUAGUUCAAUUUUUUAUAUUCUUAUUAUUCAAUUAUUAAAUAAUAGGUAAUUUUGUGACAUAGAGUAUAAAUGAAAAAAAAAGGUAAUUAGGCUUAUUGAACAUUAUAAGUAAAUAUUGAAAACUAAUGAUGGGUACAAAGAGCGGUAUAAAUUGAUAACUUAGUUUGCAAAAAUGAAUUUAAAUGAGUUUACAAAAGGUUAAAAUAAAUGGGUAAUUGGGUUACCCAAUUCAUUUUUUGACUUACCCAUUUAUAUCUAUCUAAUUAAAUAGGUAUAAAUGGGUUGACUCACUUAUACCCAUUACUCAUUUUAUCUAACCCAAACCCGACCAAGUCACCCAUUUUGACACCUCUAGUUAAAUGUCAAAUUGCUAAAAUCUCCUACUUCAAGAUCAAGGAGGAGGAAUUUAUGCUUCUUUCCUUAGGGAACGAGGCAUUGCUCAUUUUUUUUUUGGUGAUAAAAUAAUUGUAACUGACAAUUCUCCUUAGCCAAACAUUUUCUAAACAAUAGCCACAAAUAUUUGUUGCUGCUUCUAUUGAAUUAGCAGGCACAUUAGAUGCACAAGGUAUUAUUUUUAAGUUAGGAAAUGACAAGAUGCAAGUCCACGAACAUCCAUGGUAAAUGUCUAAAAAAAAAGAGUUGGCUUGAUCAUAGAGAACAUUUUAUCACAUUCUGAAGGCUAAAAUUAGACCUUAAAACUAAUGUUAGGCACUACUUCCAUAAUUGUCACCGUCUAGCGCAAAUUACCUUCUUGAAUUUUAUCAUUUUCAGGAUCAAUUUCGAACCCAAAAAAAAAAAAGAAAAAGAAAGAGAGACAUUUUUCCUCAAACAUGUGCCCUUUAUUGAUUUUAAACUAUUUAAAAUGAAACUACAAAUUCCCACUUUGGAAGAUAGAUUGGAAAAUUGAUGUCAAUUUUGCCAUGCUACAAAUGCCUUCAACGUGGUGAACAACAUCCACAUGCAAUUUCCCAAAGCAUGGAACAAGAAGAACUGUUUGAUGAAAAGAAAUAGACAUCCUAGAACCAACAUAAACAGCCAGCCUUUGUGCCCAAAAAAUAAAAACAGAGGGAAAAAAAACAAGAAAAUUAAAGGCCAGUGGCCCCAGUUCUCAAUGUCAAUGUUGAAAACUUUUCCUGAACAGUUUCCUUAGCCAAAUUGUUAAAGUGGACUCUUUCAGACUGCAACAAUGCAUGGCUGCUGCCUGCAGGUUGAAGCCCAAAGCAAUUCCUUCCUAAACGCCCAAAUUACCCUAAGCAUUUCAGGCCCAAAUAAAUGGAUAUAAAUUAGGUCCAAUCUACAUGUUCCCCGCUUGGAUUCUGUUCUUAUUUAGCAAAAUUAAUGUCCUUACAACCCAACUUAGUUGGUAUCGACAUUGAUCAAGUGAUCAUAAGAUUCUUAGUUUCGAUACAAGAAAUUGUAAAAUCAAUUUUUCUAAACAUUUUCUCUCAUUUUGCAUAAAACUUGUCAAGCAUGUUUUGUAAUUAGACACCUUUUAAUUAAUUUUUAAUUUGUCAAUUACACAAUAGAUGGAACACUUUACCAGAUAGCCUUUUCCGAUUGUGAUUAUCAGAGCUUUUCUUGAAAAUGAAGUUUUGAGGGUUAAUAAUUGCAACCAUCUAGCUUCUAGGAUAAAUUCGAUAAUAGAUAAUUCUACAUUGACUUGCUUGCCUUCUGCCCAACUAAUAUUUGGACAAAUUUCAAAAAUUAUAUUAAAAAAAAAAAAGGGUUGAGAGGCACUAUGAAAUCAGAAAAAGUUCAUAAACACAUUUUCAAAGUUGUCCUCAUACUUGACAUGGAGAAAGAAGAACUUCUCAUACCGGUGGAACAACAAGAGAAACCAUUACAACUUUGAUUUAGUACAACCAAGCAUAAAUCCAGAUCCUGCUAGUAAUUCUAUUCACAGUUUUACAGCUUAUAUACAAGUGCCAUCUCAUUGGAAUAAGCUCUAGCACAAUGACAAAUGCUGAUUCACAAAUUUCUAUUCUUUUCUGCUUUCAUCUGAGUAAGAUUCUGCUAAAGUCGAAUCUGUAAACUCCAGUAUUACAUCAUCAAGGUAGCUGAUACAACUACACCAUACUAGCUGUUACCUUGAUCUACAUUAGGAUGAUUAUCAGGGACACAAUCAGCAUCGUGUUCGUUUAGAUUAUUUUCCACUUCACCAGGAUCAUCAUCGGAUUCAGAUACUGAGCUAGAAUCCAGUCCUGUUUCUAGACAUUCAAGUUGCACACAUUCAGGUAGUGGAUCAUGCGGUGAAUCACGUGGAGAACUAAUACUUGAUUCACGACUCCUGGUUGUUGGUG
rnacentral:lncRNA from 1 species